AUACGUAGGGGACGAGCGUUGUCCGGAAUUACUGGGCGUAAAGGGCGCGCAGGCGGAUAUUUAAGUCAGAUGUAAAAGGCAUGAGCUCAACUCAUGUAUGCGGUUGAAACUAGGUAUCUAGAGUGCUGGAGAGGUAGGCGGAAUUCCCGGUGUAGCGGUGCAAUGCGUAGAUAUCGGGAAGAACACCAGUGGCGAAGGCGGCUUACUGGCCAGCAACUGACGCUGAGGCGCGAAAGCCAGGGGAGCGAACGGGAUUAGAUACCCCGGUAGUCCUGGCCGUAAACGAUGAAUGCUAGGUGUGGGUGUCGAGAGGCAUCCGUGCCGGAGUCAACGCGAUAAGCAUUCCGCCUGGGGAGUACGAUCGCAAGAUUGAAACUCAAAGGAAUUGACGGGG
rnacentral:rRNA from 1 species